AGGCACUACGGUGCUGAAGCAACAAAUGCCCUGCUUCCAGGAAAAGCCUCUAAGCAUCAGGUAACAUCAAAUCGUACCCCAAACCGACACAGGUGGUCAGGUAGAGAAUACCAAGGCGCUUGAGAGAACUCGGGUGAAGGAACUAGGCAAAAUGGUGCCGUAACUUCGGGAGAAGGCACGCUGAUACGUAGGUGAAGUCCCUCGCGGAUGGAGCUGAAAUCAGUCGAAGAUACCAGCUGGCUGCAACUGUUUAUUAAAAACACAGCACUGUGCAAACACGAAAGUGGACGUAUACGGUGUGACGCCUGCCCGGUGCCGGAAGGUUAAUUGAUGGGGUUAGCGCAAGCGAAGCUCUUGAUCGAAGCCCCGGUAAACGGCGGCCGUAACUAUAACGGUCCUAAGGUAGCGAAAUUCCUUGUCGGGUAAGUUCCGACCUGCACGAAUGGCGUAAUGAUGGCCAGGCUGUCUCCACCCGAGACUCAGUGAAAUUGAACUCGCUGUGAAGAUGCAGUGUACCCGCGGCAAGACGGAAAGACCCCGUGAACCUUUACUAUAGCUUGACACUGAACAUUGAGCCUUGAUGUGUAGGAUAGGUGGGAGGCUUUGAAGUGUGGACGCCAGUCUGCAUGGAGCCGACCUUGAAAUACCACCCUUUAAUGUUUGAUGUUCUAACGUGGACCCGUAAUCCGGGUUGCGGACAGUGUCUGGUGGGUAGUUUGACUGGGGCGGUCUCCUCCUAAAGAGUAACGGAGGAGCACGAAGGUUGGCUAAUCCUGGUCGGACAUCAGGAGGUUAGUGCAAUGGCAUAAGCCAGCUUGACUGCGAGCGUGACGGCGCGAGCAGGUGCGAAAGCAGGUCAUAGUGAUCCGGUGGUUCUGAAUGGAAGGGCCAUCGCUCAACGGAUAAAAGGUACUCCGGGGAUAACAGGCUGAUACCGCCCAAGAGUUCAUAUCGACGGCGGUGUUUGGCACCUCGAUGUCGGCUCAUCACAUCCUGGGGCUGAAGUAGGUCCCAAGGGUAUGGCUGUUCGCCAUUUAAAGUGGUACGCGAGCUGGGUUUAGAACGUCGUGAGACAGUUCGGUCCCUAUCUGCCGUGGGCGCUGGAGAAUUGAGGGGGGCUGCUCCUAGUACGAGAGGACCGGAGUGGACGCAUCACUGGUGUUCGGGUUGUCAUGCCAAUGGCACUGCCCGGUAGCUAAAUGCGGAAGAGAUAAGUGCUGAAAGCAUCUAAGCACGAAACUUGCCCCGAGAUGAGUUCUCCCUGACUCCUUGAGAGUCCUGAAGGAACGUUGAAGACGACGACGUUGAUAGGCCGGGUGUGUAAGCGCAGCGAUGCGUUGAGCUAACCGGUACUAAUGAACCGUGAGGCUUAACC
rnacentral:rRNA from 1 species